rnacentral:rRNA from 1 species
GUCGAACGAUGAAGCCUUUCGGGGUGGAUUAGUGGCGAACGGGUGAGUAACACGUGGGCAAUCUGCCCUUCACUCUGGGACAAGCCCUGGAAACGGGGUCUAAUACCGGAUAACACUCUGUCCCGCAUGGGACGGGGUUAAAAGCUCCGGCGGUGAAGGAUGAGCCCGCGGCCUAUCAGCUUGUUGGUGGGGUAAUGGCCUACCAAGGCGACGACGGGUAGCCGGCCUGAGAGGGCGACCGGCCACACUGGGACUGAGACACGGCCCAGACUCCUACGGGAGGCAGCAGUGGGGAAUAUUGCACAAUGGGCGAAAGCCUGAUGCAGCGACGCCGCGUGAGGGAUGACGGCCUUCGGGUUGUAAACCUCUUUCAGCAGGGAAGAAGCGAAAGUGACGGUACCUGCAGAAGAAGCGCCGGCUAACUACGUGCCAGCAGCCGCGGUAAUACGUAGGGCGCAAGCGUUGUCCGGAAUUAUUGGGCGUAAAGAGCUCGUAGGCGGCUUGUCACGUCGGAUGUGAAAGCCCGGGGCUUAACCCCGGGUCUGCAUUCGAUACGGGCUAGCUAGAGUGUGGUAGGGGAGAUCGGAAUUCCUGGUGUAGCGGUGAAAUGCGCAGAUAUCAGGAGGAACACCGGUGGCGAAGGCGGAUCUCUGGGCCAUUACUGACGCUGAGGAGCGAAAGCGUGGGGAGCGAACAGGAUUAGAU